AUUGAACGCUGGCGGCAGGCCUAACACAUGCAAGUCGAGCGGAGCGGCGGACGGGUGAGUAAUGCCUAGGAAUCUGCCUGGUAGUGGGGGAUAACGUUCGGAAACGGGCGCUAAUACCGCAUCCUCUCAGAAGAGCCUAGGUCGGAUUAGCUAGUUGGAGGGGUAAAGGCAUACCAAGGCGACGAUCCGUAACUGGUCUGAGAGGAUGAUCAGUCACACUGGGAUUGAGACACGGUCCAGACUCCUACGGGAGGCAGCAGUGGGGAAUAUUGGACAAUGGGCGAAAGCCUGAGCCAGCCAUGCCGCGUGUAUGAAGAAGGUCUUCGGGUUGUAAAGCACUUUAAGUUGGGAGGCGUUACCAACAGAAUAAGCACCGGCUAACUUCGUGCCAGCCGCCGCGGUAAUAC
rnacentral:rRNA from 1 species